AGAGUUUGAUCCUGGCUCAGGACGAACGCUGGCGGCGUGCUUAACACAUGCAAGUCGAACGAUGAACACCGGAGCUUGCUCUGGUGGGAUUAGUGGCGAACGGGUGAGUAACACGUGAGCAAUCUGCCCCCGACUCUGGGAUAACCCCGAGAAAUCGGAGCUAAUACCGGAUACGACACCUCCUGGCAUCAGGUGGGUGUGGAAAGAAUUUCGGUUGGGGAUGAGCUCGCGGCCUAUCAGCUUGUUGGUGAGGUAAUGGCUCACCAAGGCGACGACGGGUAGCCGGCCUGAGAGGGUGACCGGCCACACUGGGACUGAGACACGGCCCAGACUCCUACGGGAGGCAGCAGUGGGGAAUAUUGCACAAUGGGCGCAAGCCUGAUGCAGCAACGCCGCGUGGGGGACGACGGCCUUCGGGUUGUAAACCUCUUUUGGCAGGGAAGAAGCGAAAGUGACGGUACCUGCAGAAAAAGCACCGGCUAACUACGUGCCAGCAGCCGCGGUAAUACGUAGGGUGCAAGCGUUGUCCGGAAUUAUUGGGCGUAAAGAGCUCGUAGGCGGUGUGUCACGUCUGCUGUGAAAAUCCAAGGCUCAACCUUGGACUUGCAGUGGGUACGGGCACACUCGAGUGCGGUAGGGGAGAUUGGAAUUCCUGGUGUAGCGGUGGAAUGCGCAGAUAUCAGAGGAACACCGAUGGCGAAGCAGAUCUCUGGGCCGUAACUGACGCUGAGGAGCGAAAGCGUGGGGAGCGAACAGGAUUAGAUACCCUGGUAGUCCACGCC
rnacentral:rRNA from 1 species